rnacentral:rRNA from 1 species
AGACCCGAAACCCGGUGAUCUAGCCAUGGGCAGGUUGAAGGUUGGGUAACACUAACUGGAGGACCGAACCGACUAAUGUUGAAAAAUUAGCGGAUGACCUGUGGCUGGGGGUGAAAGGCCAAUCAAACCGGGAGAUAGCUGGUUCUCCCCGAAAGCUAUUUAGGUAGCGCCUCGUGAAUUCAUCUCCGGGGGUAGAGCACUGUUUCGGCUAGGGGGCCAUCCCGGCUUACCAACCCGAUGCAAACUGCGAAUACCGGAGAAUGUUAUCACGGGAGACACACGGCGGGUGCUAACGUCCGUCGUGAAGAGGGAAACAACCCAGACCGCCAGCUAAGGUCCCAAAGUCAUGGUUAAGUGGGAAACGAUGUGGGAAGGCCCAGACAGCCAGGAUGUUGGCUUAGAAGCAGCCAUCAUUUAAAGAAAGCGUAAUAGCUCACUGGUCGAGUCGGCCUGCGCGGAAGAUGUAACGGGGCUAAACCAUGCACCGAAGCUGCGGCAGCGACACUCAGGUGUUGUUGGGUAGGGGAGCGUUCUGUAAGCCUGUGAAGGUGGCCUGUGAGGGUUGCUGGAGGUAUCAGAAGUGCGAAUGCUGACAUAAGUAACGAUAAAGCGGGUGAAAAGCCCGCUCGCCGGAAGACCAAGGGUUCCUGUCCAACGUUAAUCGGGGCAGGGUGAGUCGACCCCUAAGGCGAGGCCGAAAGGCGUAGUCGAUGGGAAACGGGUUAAUAUUCCCGUACUUGGUGUUACUGCGAAGGGGGGACGGAGAAGGCUAUGUUG